GCCGCCAGCCGCGCACCGUCCACUCCGCCAGGAGACUCCAGCGGCGUCAAUGAGGAGAGCGUUGCCGACCUCAUCAACGCCGGCUUCGGCUCGGCUCUUCAUGCGCACCAUCUCAGCCCACUCUGUCUCCGACGACCCGGCACACAUCGAGGUCAUCAACGGCAUCGAGCACGGCGGCACACCACCGGGCCUGCGCCGCCACGACGAGAUCGCUUCCAUCGCCGAGGUGGAUUGGAUUUCGAGGUAGUCAAGGAGCUCGACCUUUCCCUGCCCCCCUCGCUGCCGUGGUGACCGGCGCUCAACAUGCGGUUUCUUACCAUAAUGUCCCGCGCAACACUGUCGGCACCUAUCAAUGCUGCUAAUUGUUUCUAUAUCUAGGCUUCAGUAUAAAACAUGGAUUUGGCAGUAGAUGAGGUACAUGGAGAGAGAAGAGGGCGACGUGCUUUUGCUCCUUGCUCCUUGCCAUUGCCACGAUGCUGCUGCAGCCUGUGAGAGGCACUGCUGCUAACUCUGAAAGACAUGAGUGAUAUUCAGAGAUUGAGGGAGCUUGGGAGAUGGAGUGCUGCUAGCUGAUGUCCUAAUUGUUUUCUGGAUAGCGGUCUGGUGUUUAGACUUUAGAGGACAUUGUUAUUCACAAUAUAUUCUAACAUUGCUAGGUGUAAGGUAUAUGAUUUAGUUGCAUAGUUGAACGGUGGUGGGAUAAACCAUACCAUGUAGUGUGGAAAUUAAAUAUGUGAGGCACAUUUGGAAGAAAAGUUUUCCUAUAACUUGAUUUACAUGGACAUCUUUGGCAAUUGCACUCGCUGCAUAUGCGGAGAAUUCUUAAUUAGUUAACCAGUAGUGGCAGUUGCUUAGUGCUUCCUAUAAUGAAGAAUUUGUUAUGCACUAUUCAUCAGCUAGCAAUCUUAUAGCGUCUUGCUUACAGGGCAGUAAAACGCUCUAGGUGGACUUCUUUACUGUUCUACUUUAUUUCUCUAUGACAGGUCAGUAAUCUUCUCCUAUUUGUACUGGACCCAUUUCGUUUCUACUGGCCGUCAAUCAUCUCCUCUUCACCACAACGAUACCCCGCCCAUUUUUCAGAUUCUCUGCCAUUUUAAUGGCUUUAAUCACUUAACUUUCGUGUGUCGAAUCUGAUGUGUGUCCAAGUUUUUCAUGGAAGUGGUGUCGCUGCCUGCUGCUCACUAAUCUCCUACAUCGUCCUGACUCCUAAGGUUCCUUUGAAUUUGAUGUACAAUCCUCUGACCUAUUAUUUUUUCUAUUACUAUUCCUACCAGGGUUUACAUUUGUCUCAGCUUUGUGUUUAUCCAUGCAUUGCUGUGGCUUUUGCCUACUAUCUAGACAUAUUGGGUGAAUUGUGCAAUCAUGGGUUGGUUGCUUGCUACAUGUGAGCAAUAUGAGUGUUCAGAUAUGGAUGGAACCUGUUGGCCAUAUUGAAAUAAUGCAGUUUUUUAGUCAAGUAAAACAGUACCUCUCGCUGAAAUACUAAUGACUUGUUUCAUUUUCUGUUUUCAUGAUAUAAGGAAUGGUUUUUAACUAUAGAAUAUGUAUUGAUUCUUAGUAUACGCUAAUUUUUAUCUGCAAUUUUAUUGCAUUAUCAUGAAGUGCUCAUAAUUAUAACCCCAAAACACUAAGUAAAGUGCUUCUGAGUUUUAAGUGUAUUUACCUUCUAAUUUUCCCAAGGGUAGCUAUUCACCCAUUCCUUAUUUUACAACUAACCUGAUGGAUGCUUUUAAUUUUUACAGGAAAGGGAUUCACAGUAGUAUAAGGAAGGAUGCAUGUCUAUUACCAUGGAACAAGUGUUAGAUCGAUACUAGGUACAUGAUACCAAUUACAGCAGCACGUGCAGGCUCCAGUGUUGAGAUGGUGUUUUCGAGUUUUUGUUUGUAAAAGGCACUGAUUCUUUGUGGCUGAAUCUUAUGCUCAUGUCCAGUACAGUAGCUAAAAUCUCUGGCUUAUUUGCUAGGAAAUAUGUUACUCAGAUGCCACUGUGCCGCGCUACUCUUUUCUUAAGAUAUGUCUUUUCAGGUCUUGAAGUUUUAUCCUGAAUGAAUGCAACACUGUUUUUAUGAGUUUCAGUAUACCUAGAAAAGUUUCUGGCAAA